rnacentral:rRNA from 1 species
AUUGAACGCUGGCGGCAUGCCUUACACAUGCAAGUCGAACGGCAGCGCGGGAGCAAUCCUGGUGGCGAGUGGCGAACGGGUGAGUAAUGUAUCGGAACGUGCCCAGUCGUGGGGGAUAACGCAGCGAAAGCUGUGCUAAUACCGCAUACGAUCUAAGGAUGAAAGCGGGGGAUCGCAAGACCUCGCGCGAUUGGAGUGGCCGAUAUCAGAUUAGGUAGUUGGUGGGGUAAAGGCCCACCAAGCCAACGAUCUGUAGCUGGUCUGAGAGGACGACCAGCCACACUGGAACUGAGACACGGUCCAGACUCCUACGGGAGGCAGCAGUGGGGAAUUUUGGACAAUGGGCGAAAGCCUGAUCCAGCCAUUCCGCGUGCAGGAUGAAGGCCCUCGGGUUGUAAACUGCUUUUGUACAGAACGAAAAGGUUUCUACUAAUACUAGGAGCUCAUGACGGUACUGUAAGAAUAAGCACCGGCUAACUACGUGCCAGCCGCCGCCGUAA